rnacentral:rRNA from 1 species
ACGUACUGGUAUUGUUGGUUUCUCCCUUCUGACGAACCAUGAUGUCAUUUAUUUGGUGUUGUGGGGAAUCAGGACUGUUACUUUGAAAAAAUUAGAGUGUUUAAAGCAGGCUCACGCUUGAAUACAUUAGCAUGGAAUAAUGAAAUAGGACGUUUGAUUCUAUUUUGUUGGUUUCUAGGAUCGACGUAAUGAUUAAUAGGGAUAGUUGGGGGCAUUAGUAUUCAAUUGUCAGAGGUGAAAUUCUUGGAUUUAUUGAAGACUAACUACUGCGAAAGCAUUUGCCAAGGAUGUUUUCAUUAAUCAAGAACGAAAGUUAGGGGAUCGAAGACGAUCAGAUACCGUCGUAGUCUUAACCAUAAACUAUGCCGACUAGGGAUCGGAUGAUGUUAAUUUUUUAAUGACUCAUUCGGCGCCUUACG